GAGGGGACACGAUAUAGAAAGCUUGCUUUUUUUAGGCGUCGACCGGCGAAUGGGUGAGUAACGCGUAUCCAACCUGCCCCUGAGUAAGGGAUAGCCCAUCGAAAGAUGGAUUAAUACCUUAUGGUCUCCUUUGCAGACAUCUAAUUAGGAGUAAAGAUUUAUCGCUGAGGGAUGGGGAUGCGUCUGAUUAGCUUGUUGGCGGGGUAACGGCCCACCAAGGCAACGAUCAGUAGGGGUUCUGAGAGGAAGGUCCCCCACAUUGGUACUGAGACACGGACCAAACUCCUACGGGAGGCAGCAGUGAGGAAUAUUGGUCAAUGGACGGAAGUCUGAACCAGCCAAGUAGCGUGCAGGAUGACUGCCCUAUGGGUUGUAAACUGCUUUUAUACGGGGAUAAAGUCAGGGUCGUGACCCUGUUUGCAGGUACCGUAUGAAUAAGGACCGGCUAAUUCCGUGCCAGCAGCCGCGGUAAUACGGAAGGUCCAGGCGUUAUCCGGAUUUAUUGGGUUUAAAGGGAGCGUAGGCCGGAGAUUAAGUGUGUUGUGAAAUGUAGAUGCUCAACAUCUGCACUGCAGCGCAUACUGGUUUCCUUGAGUGCACGCAACGUUGGCGGAAUUCGUCGUGUAGCGGUGAAAUGCUUAGAUAUGACGAAGAACUCCGAUUGCGAAGGCAGC
rnacentral:rRNA from 1 species